UUUAAGUGGGCGUGUUUCCUAAAUCAGCAGUAGUCGUUAAUCAGCUGACGGGUGAACAGGUUGUGUGAGAAUCUGCCGAGCUGGUGUGUGGCGUACUGGAGACAGUGGUUUAUUUUACAGAAACACAGAGGGAUCCUUGAGCUAACUUGUUGAAGCAGACAUGGAGAGCGACUCUGUAACACACAGUGGUGAAGAUACUACUCCAGAUGACUGGAUGGCUAUGGUUGUAGACAGUCCAGAUGGAAGUCCUGCUGCCAGUCCUGCUGCUACACAGAAA